rnacentral:pre_miRNA from 1 species
UUCAUGAUUGUUUGGUUAUUGAAGCUCUGAUAUCAUAUUAAAAAAUUAUCUUGAUCUAAAAUCAAUUAAGCUUUUAAGUUUUUAAGUUGAGAUGGUUUUUUGACAUGAUAUCAGAGUUUGUUGACCAAGUAAUUAGAA